AUUGCUUCUCGGCCUUUGGCUAAGAUCAAGUGUAGUAUCUGUUCUUAUCAGUUAUACUGAACUUAUCAUUAUAGUACUGGGCCUAACACAAUUUGGUAGACUCAUCUUAU
ensembl:snRNA U2 U2 spliceosomal RNA